UCAUGACAUUAAUUCCAGGAAUAGAUAAAUAUCUACCCCACUUCUAUUAUUUCACCAUGCCAUCUUAUUCUAGUUCGUUGUUAAUUAUCAUUGAAACUGCAAAAAAAUCAGCGCUUAUAAUUGAUUGGGCAACGAUUACACCAAGUAGAAUUACAGAAAUACAAGAACCUGUAAAAUUUUACAGUAAAUUCUCCAUGUUUACAAUAACCAUUAGCCAGGGAAGGCAUGAAGCAAAAACAACCAACGAGUCGUCCUUUGGAUUGUGGAUUUAUGGUACCAAUGAUUGAUUUGCAUUUCCUGCAGGGUAUCGCGUAAGUUAAACAUAAAACC
rnacentral:lncRNA from 1 species